UACGGAGGGUGCUAGCGUUGUUCGGAAUUACUGGGCGUAAAGGGCUCGUAGGCGGCCAACUAAGUCAGACGUGAAAUCCCUCGGCUUAACCGGGGAACUGCGUCUGAUACUGGAUGGCUUGAGGUUGGGAGAGGGAUGCGGAAUUCCAGGUGUAGCGGUGAAAUGCGUAGAUAUCUGGAGGAACACCGGUGGCGAAGGCGGCAUCCUGGACCAAUUCUGACGCUGAGGAGCGAAAGCCAGGGGAGCAAACGGG
rnacentral:rRNA from 1 species